rnacentral:piRNA from 1 species
UGCAGUAGCUUGAUCAUGGUUCAUUGC